CAAGUAGGCGGUUUAGUAAGUCAGAUGUGAAAUCCCCGGGCUCAACCUGGGAACUGCAUCUGAAACUGCAAAACUUGAGGACGGAAGAGGAGAGUGGAAUAUCCGGUGUAAGGGUGAAAUCUGUAGAUAUCGGAUAGAACACCAGUGGCGAAGGCGACUCUCUGGUCCGUUUCUGACGCUGAGAGGCGAAAGCUAGGGGAGCGAACAGGAUUAGAUACCCUGGUAGUCC
rnacentral:rRNA from 1 species